CCUACGGGAGGCAGCAGUGAGGAAUUUUCCGCAAUGGGCUAACGCCUGACGGAGCAAUGCCGCGUGGAGGAGGAAGGCCUGUGGGUCGUAAACUCCUUUUCUCAGAGGAGAAGAUCUGACGGUAUCUGAGGAAUAAGCAUCGGCUAAUUCUGUGCCAGCAGCCGCGGUAAUACAGGGGAUGCAAGCGUUAUCCGGAAUUAUUGGGCGUAAAGCGUCCUGAGGUGGCUUACCCAGUCGACUGUGAAAGCUCAAGGCUCAACCUUGAAACGGCAGUCGAAACUUGUAAGCUUGAGUACGGUAGAGGCAGAGGGAAUUCCCGGAGGAGAGGUGAAAUUCGUAGAUAUCGGGAGGAAGGCCAAAGGCGAAAGCACUCUGCUGGGCCGAUUACUGACACUGACAGACGAAAGCUAGGGGAGCGAAAGGGAUUAGAUACCCCUGUAGUCCUAGCCGUAAACGAUGGAUACUAAGUGUUGCGCGACUCAACUCGUGCAGUGCUGCAGCUAACGCGGUAAGUAUCCGCCUGGGGAGUAUGCUGCAAGAGUGAAACUCAAAUGAAUUGACCGGNNGAGAGNGCGAGACGACGACGAGGGAGGAGG
rnacentral:rRNA from 1 species